GAGCGUAACUCCUUUUCUUAGGGAAGAAUUCUGACGGUACCUAAGGAAUAAGCACCGGCUAACUCCGUGCCAGCAGCCGCGGUAAUACGGAGCGUGCAAGCGUUACUCGGAAUCACUGGGCGUAAAGGGCGCGUAGGCGGAUUAUCAAGUCUCUUGUGAAAUCUAAUGGCUUAACCAUUAAACUGCUUGGGAAACUGAUAGUCUAGAGUGAGGGAGAGGCAGAUGGAAUUGGUGGUGUAGGGGUAAAAUCCGUAGAUAUCACCAAGAAUACCCAUUGCGAAGGCGAUCUGCUGGAACUCAACUGACGCUAAGGCGCGAAAGCGUGGGGAGCAAACAGGAUUAGAUACCCUGGUAGUCCACGCCCUAAACGAUGUACACUAGUUGUUGGGGUGCUAGUCAUCUCAGUAAUGCAGCUAACGCAUUAAGUGUACCGCCUGGGGAGUACGGUCGCAAGAUUAAAACUCAAAGGAAUAGACGGGGACCCGCACAAGCGGUGGAGCAUGUGGUUUAAUUCGAAGAUACGCGAAGAACCUUACCUGGGCUUGAUAUCCUAAGAACCUUUUAGAGAUAAGAGGGUGCUAGCUUGCUAGAACUUAGAGACAGGUGCUGCACGGCUGUCGUCAGCUCGUGUCGUGAGAUGUUGGGUUAAGUCCCGCAACGAGCGCAACCCACGUAUUUAGUUGCUAACGGUUCGGCCGAGCACUCUAAAUAGACUGCCUUCGUAAGGAGGAGGAAGGUGUGGACGACGUCAAGUCAUCAUG
rnacentral:rRNA from 1 species